GCGGGAAUAGCUCAGUUGGUAGAGCGCCACCUUGCCAAGGUGGAUGUCGCGGGUUCAAGUCCCGUUUCCCGCU
rnacentral:tRNA from 7 species